rnacentral:rRNA from 1 species
UACGUAGGGUGCGGGCGUUAAUCGGAAUUACUGGGCGUAAAGCGUGCGCAGGCGGUUCGUUGUGUCGGCGGUGAAAGCCCCGGGCUUAACCUGGGAAUGGCCGUCGAAACUGGCGAACUGGAGUGUGGCAGAGGGGGGUGGAAUUCCGCGUGUAGCAGUGAAAUGCGUAGAGAUGCGGAGGAACACCGAUGGCGAAGGCAGCCCCCUGGGCUGACACUGACGCUCAGGCACGAAAGCGUGGGGAGCAAACAGG